CUGAAAGAGUUGUGAGAGCAAGGCUAGUACAGCUCCCUGGUUGUAGGCUACCACUUUUAUAGAUAUGAGGCUUAAACCAAACCAGGGUGUUUUAUUUUUGUGUCUCUUAUGGUUUUACAUUGGCCAAACAUGUGGUAUAAGCCUUGAAAUAGUGCAAAAAGACGAGACACAUCAUGAGGAAAGGUCUGAGAAUAUUCAAACUGGGACAAUUACUUUCGGCACAGGGAAUAUUUCACUGGGUCGAAAUCUGGAAUAUGAGAGACGAUAUGUUGGAGAAAACACUACAGACGAUGGCUCCGUUAACGUUCAAGCCGACGAUCCAGGCCUGGUGGGUGGACAAAGCGGCACUCAUGACUUUAGGGCCUGGGAUCGUAUGCGACCCAAGUUAUUAUGUACUAAUGACCUCAUGAAGUUCUCUGCACAAGGCCCUGGCUGUUCUUCACUCCAGUUAGACAGCGGUGGCACACCUCUCUCACUACACCAGCUACGUUGAGAGUGUGGCUACUCUGUGAAAAGGACUGCGGUGGGCCUCGUGCUUCUCGCCACUUUUGAUGGUUGUGAUGUUAUAAAACAGGCUUUUCUGUUGGCGUACAUUUCAUGAA